GAGCAAGCGGACCUCAUAAAGUGCGUCGUAGUCCGGAUUGGAGUCUGCAACUCGACUCCAUGAAGUCGGAAUCGCUAGUAAUCGUGGAUCAGAAUGCCACGGUGAAUACGUUCCCGGGCCUUGUACACACCGCCCGUCACACCAUGGGAGUGGGUUGCAAAAGAAGUAGGUAGCUUAACCUUCGGGAGGGCGCUUACCACUUUGUGAUUCAUGACUGGGGUGAAGUCGUAACAAGGUAACCGUAGGGGAACCUGCGGUUGGAUCACCUCCUUA
rnacentral:rRNA from 1 species